GUCCAAGUGUACACCACGGUCUUACCACGAUUCUUGGUAUUCCUCAGUUUCGCUACUUUCAUCGAAGUGUUGAAUCAACUUCAAGCAUCUACAUCCAUAGCAAUGAUUAAGUUUUGUUGUCCUUCGGUGCCGGCAUGUACGCGGGGCGUCUACGUC
rnacentral:lncRNA from 1 species